rnacentral:lncRNA from 1 species
UUUAUUUAAUUUUUGAUUUUGUAAAAAUAAAAAUAUAUUGUUGAUAAUAUAAGCAAAAAUGAACACGGCACAAAAUAUUGAUUUCUUAUGUAAUUGUAUAUAAAGAAUUUUUUUUUCCUUUUUUUUACACAUUUUGGUUAACUUUAACUUCAUUUCCUGAUUAAUGCAAUCGAUGUGAGCAUAUUCCAUGUGAAAUUAUCUUUUAUCAAAAUAAUGUGUGUGAUACUUAUUAGAAAAGACAUAAUAUUUUUUUUCCUUUUUUUUUAUUUUGAGAAAUAGAAUGGUAGCAAAUAACCCCGCUUCGUUCAUUUUUUUUUAACUUUAGAAAUUAAAACAAUUAGAAAUGUAAAAUAAUAAAGUUUUGACCUUAAAAUCUCUGAGUACCAAAUAAAAAAAAAAUUCCUUAG